rnacentral:rRNA from 1 species
UACAGAGGGUGCAAGCGUUGUUCGGAAUUAUUGGGCGUAAAGCGCGUGUAGGCGGCUUUGCAAGUCGGGUGUGAAAGCCCUCAGCUCAACUGAGGAAGUGCGCCCGAAACUGCAGAGCUUGAGUGCCGGAGAGGGUGGCGGAAUUCCCCAAGUAGAGGUGAAAUUCGUAGAUAUGGGGAGGAACACCGGUGGCGAAGGCGACAUCCUGGACCGGUAUUGACGCUGAGGCGCGAAAGCCAGGGGAGCAAACGGG